AGAGUUUGAUCCUGGCUCAGGAUGAACGCUAGCGAUAGGCCUAACACAUGCAAGUCGAGGGGCAGCAUAGAGUAGCAAUACUAGAGACCGGCGCACGGGUGCGUAACGCGUAUGUAACCUGCCUCACACUGGGGGAUAGCCUUCCGAAAGGGAGAUUAAUACCGCAUAAUAUUGUUUAUCUGCCUGGAUAGACAAUUAAAGCUUCGGUGGUGUGAGAUGGACAUGCGUAUGAUUAGCUAGUUGGCGGGGUAACGGCCCACCAAGGCGACGAUCAUUAGGGGUUCUGAGAGGAAGAUCCCCCACACUGGUACUGAGACACGGACCAGACUCCUACGGGAGGCAGCAGUGAGGAAUAUUGGUCAAUGGGCGAAAGCCUGAACCAGCCAUGUCGCGUGCAGGAAGACGGCCCUAUGGGUUGUAAACUGCUUUUGUAUGGGAAGAAACGACGGUACGAGUACUGUUUUGCCGGUACCAUACGAAUAAGGAUCGGCUAACUCCGUGCCAGCAGCCGCGGUAAUACGGAGGAUCCAAGCGUUAUCCGGAUUUAUUGGGUUUAAAGGGUGCGUAGGCGGGAGAUUAAGUCAGUGGUGAAAGUUUGCGGCUCAACCGUAAAAUUGCCAUUGAUACUGGUUUUCUUGAGUACAGUUGAGGUAGGCGGAAUGUGGUGUGUAGCGGUGAAAUGCUUAGAUAUACCACAGAACACCGAUUGCGAAGGCAGCUUACUAAGUUGUGACUGACGCUGAAGCACGAAAGCAUGGGGAUCAAACAGGAUUAGAUACCCUGGUAGUCG
rnacentral:rRNA from 1 species